rnacentral:rRNA from 1 species
CCGAAACUAAGUGAGCUACUUUAGAAUAGCCCCUAGAGCUAACCCGUCUCUGUCGCAAAAGAGUGGGAGAAUUUUUAAGUAGAGGUGAUAAACCUACCGAACUUAGAGAUAGCUGGUUUCUUAAGAAAAGAAUUUUAGUUCAGCCCUAAGCCUCCCGAUUAAACAAAAAAUUUAUAUAGACUUAGGAGUCAUUCAAAUAAGGCACAGCUUAUUUGAAAUAGGAUACAACCUAGUAGACAGGGUAAGAUACAACUGAAUUUUUAUUAAGUGGGCCUAAAAGCAGCCACCUUUUAAAAAGCGUCAAAGCUUAACAACAUAAAUAUACUCAAUUCCACUAAUACCUUCUAACCCUUAUUUAUUAUUAAGUUACCCCAUAUUAUUAUGGAAGCUAUUAUGCUAGAACUAGUAACAAGAAAAAGACUUUCUCCAAAAUGUAAGCUUAAGCCACAAUAGACAACCUACUGGCAAUUAACGUUUAUAACCCCCCUAUAGUAACGUCACAAGAAAACUCUAUAUACCACACCGUUAAUCUUACACUAGUACAU